CUUAAUUUGAGUUUCUUGGUCUAAUUCCUGUCCUGUGAAGGAUGUCAGGUACUGAAUCUGAGGAAGAUACAGCUCAGAAUUCUCCAUGACCCCAAGACUGCUGCUGAAAAGAGACAGGCUGCUGCUGCACUGCAUUUGAGCUAGAGGCAUUGAUUCUCUGUCACCCAUGGAAUAUUCUGAGCAUGUCUCUGCCUGGGAGAAAGCCUGACUGCAGAAAAUCCAUUUCCUCUGAAAGCAUCUCUGGAAGCAUGUACAUGACUGAUGAGGAAAAAGAGGAAUUAGACUGAGCCGGGCUUGCAGCGCUGGGAGACCCAAAUGAAAUCAGGUGAGGGGCUUUCGGGAAGGUGCUCUAGCAGGAGCAGGGCAGAGCAGGGCUGAACAGGGCGCCACGGGCCGGGCCCGCAGCUGGGCGCGGGCAGGGUGUCCCGGAGCCUCGGUGUCUCUGCAAUGCAGGGGCCGGGGCGGGGCGGGGCGGGGCGGCAGCGAG
rnacentral:lncRNA from 1 species